AGUCCGAUGCCACGUUGACGGUAGUUCAUAGUGGGCGGUGACCGGCAAUGCUAUGAUUGGACUGAAAGCAAGUCUCUUGUUUCGUCUCUUGAUAGGAAUCUGUGGACCCCUUUUAACCUUUGGUCCCCAGAGCCGAUUUGGGCGAUUACAUUU